rnacentral:rRNA from 1 species
UAAACGACUCUCGGCAACGGAUAUCUCGGCUCUCGCAUCGAUGAGGAACGUAGCGAAAUGCGAUACUUGGUGUGAAUUGCAGAAUCCCGUGAACCAUCGAGUCUUUGAACGCAAGUUGCGCCCGAAGCCUUCAGGCCGAGGGCACGUCUGCCUGGGCGUCACAC